rnacentral:rRNA from 1 species
GAUGAACGCUGGCGGCGUGCCUAAUACAUGCAAGUCGAGCGAACAGACGAGGAGCUUGCUCCUCUGACGUUAGCGGCGGACGGGUGAGUAACACGUGGAUAACCUACCUAUAAGACUGGGAUAACUUCGGGAAACCGGAGCUAAUACCGGAUAAUAUAUUGAACCGCAUGGUUCAAUAGUGAAAGACGGCUUUGCUGUCACUUAUAGAUGGAUCCGCGCCGCAUUAGCUAGUUGGUAAGGUAACGGCUUACCAAGGCAACGAUGCGUAGACGACCUGAGAGGGUGAUCGGCCACCCUGGAACGGAGACACGGACCAGGCUCCUACGAGAGGCAGCAGUAGGGAAUCUUCCGCAGUGGGCGAAAGCCUGACGGAGCGACGCCGCGUGAGUGAUGAAGGUCUUCGGAUCGUAAAACUCUGUUAUUAGGGAAGAACAAAUGUGUAAGUAACUAUGCACGUCUUGACGGUACCUAAUCAAAAAGCCACGGCUAACUACGUG